rnacentral:rRNA from 1 species
AUUGGGUCAUUCUGGCCCGGAGCCUGAGAAGGGCUACUACAUCUACGGAAGGAGAGGCGCGUAGUUACACAAUCCUGACUCAGGGAGGUGGUGACAAGAUAUAAUGACUCUAUGAAAAUAGUGAUUAUAGUGAGGGUAUUCCAACCGAACCACAAGUACGAUUAGAGGGCAAGUCUGGUGCCAGCAGCCGCGGUAAUUCCAGCUCUAAUAGCGUAUAUUUAAAGUUGCUGCAGUUAAAAAGCUCGUACUUGGAUUUCAAGGACCGUAAACCCCCACGGGAAUACAUCCUACUAGUCUUCGGGACUGUUACUGUGAGAAAUUAGAGUGUUUCAGCAUGCUUUCGCAGAUACAUUAGCAUGAAUACGAAGAGAGGAUUGGUUAAUUCUAUGUAUAUAUUACGAAGAGAAGAGACAGUGGGGGAUUAGUAUCUAAUUGUUUAUUUUAUCUUUUC